GAGGAGGUGGAGGGGACAGGAGAGGAGGUGGAGGGCUAAUGUGAACCUCCUCUUUAAAUAGAGGAGAGAAGAGGAGAGGAGAGGAGGAGAUGUGAGGAGAGGAGAGGAGGACAGGAGAGGAGGUGGAGGGCAAGCGUCAACCUUCUCUAUUAAAAGAGAAGAGAGGAGGAUGAAAGGAGAGGAGGUGGAGGGCAAGUGUGAACCUUUUCUUUAAAAAG